rnacentral:rRNA from 1 species
UACGUAGGGGGCGAGCGUUGUCCGGAUUUACUGGGCGUAAAGCGCUUGUAGGCGGUCCACCAAGUUUGGGGUGACAGUUGCCGACUUAAUCGGCAAAGUGCCUCAAAGACUGGCGGACUUGAGGGCCACAGAGGGACAUGUAACUCCAGGUGUAGUGGUGAAAUGCGUAGAUAUCUGGAAGAACACCAAAGGCGAAGGCAGUGUCCUGGGUGGUCGCUGACGCUGAGAGGCGAAAGCCAGGGGAGCGAACGGG